UAUGCUUGCCCUUGUGACAUUUUUGUGUCGUUUGGGCAGCCGAAAUGUUGGCGAUAUCCUUGUGUUGGCGCGUGGUUGAAUGCUGUGUUGCUAUCACUUGGAUUUUUGCCGGCUCUCACGGAUGCGGUGCCUAGCGCUAGCUCUGCGGGACUUUGCCCUGCAGACUUCGGGAGGUCCCUUGUACGAAUCAUUGCUCUUAUACGCCGUCUUGUCGUGCCGCUACCGCGGCACGCARAUCGUGUUCUUUCGUGCAGUCGUUGACAGCACGAAACCGAACAUUAGUGUCCGGAGCGUGGUCUUGUGCACGUGGAAUGCCUCUCCRAUCGUAUGAGUAGCGAUUUCCGGUUCGCGUCAUGCRAAGGCCCCGCCCGUCCGGGUAGGUGCUGGAGCUGACGCGCC
rnacentral:misc_RNA from 1 species